GGGGAUUUAGCUCAGUGGCAUAAGCACCUGCCUCGCAAGCAGGCGCUCUUGAGUUCAAUCCCCG
rnacentral:tRNA from 1 species